rnacentral:rRNA from 1 species
CCUACGGGGGGCUGCAGUGGGGAAUAUUGGACAAUGGGCGAAAGCCUGAUCCAGCCAUGCCGCGUGUGUGAAGAAGGCCUUCGGGUUGUAAAGCACUUUCAGUGGGGAAGAAAGCCUUGGGGCUAAUACCCUCGAGGAAGGACAUCACCCACAGAAGAAGCACCGGCUAACUCCGUGUCAGCAGCCGCGGUAAUACGGAGGGUGCGAGCGUUAAUCGGAAUUACUGGGCGUAAAGCGCGCGUAGGCGGUCUGAUAAGCCGGUUGUGAAAGCCCCGGGCUCAACCUGGGAACGGCAUCCGGAACUGUCAGGCUAGAGUGCAGGAGAGGAAGGUAGAAUUCCCGGUGUAGCGGUGAAAUGCGUAGAGAUCGGGAGGAAUACCAGUGGCGAAGGCGGCCUUCUGGACUGACACUGACGCUGAGGUGCGAAAGCGUGGGUAGCAAACAGGAUUAGAUACCCCGGUAGUC